rnacentral:rRNA from 1 species
AGGGUUUGAUCAUGGCUCAGGACGAACGCUGGCGGCGUGCUUAACACAUGCAAGUCAAGGGGGCCCAGCAAUGGGCAACCGGCGAACGGGUGCGUAACACGUGAGCAAUCUACCUUCUUGUGGGGGAUAGCCGGCCCAACGGCCGGGUAAUACCGCAUACGAUCUUCGAGAGGCAUUUCUUGAAGAUGAAGCCUUCGGGGGCAGGAAGAGGAGCUCGCGGCCUAUCAGCUAGUUGGUGAGGUAACGGCUCACCAAGGCAAUGACGGGUAGCUGGUCUGAGAGGAUGGCCAGCCACAUUGGGACUGAGAUACGGCCCAGACUCCUACGGGAGGCAGCAGUGGGGAAUAUUGCGCAAUGGUCUAACGACUGACGCAGCGACGCCGCGUGAGGGAUGAAGCUCCUCGGAGUGUAAACCUCUGUUGCCAGGGACGAACAGCUGAAUUCAUUCAGCCUGACGGUACCUGGUGAGGAAGCACCGGCUAACUCCGUGCCAGCAGCCGCGGUAAUACGGGGGGUGCGAGCGUUGUCCGGAAUCACUGGGCGUAAAGGGCGCGUAGGUGGCCUGAUAAGGGUGUGGUGAAAGUCCGGGGCUUAACCCCGGAUCUGCCGUGCCGACUGUUAGGCUAGAGUGCUGUAGGGGCAGGCGGAAUUCCGGGUGUAGCGGUGGAAUGCGUAGAGAUCCGGAGGAAGACCGGUGGCGAAGGCGGCCUGCUGGGCAGAUACUGACACUGAGGCGCGACAGCGUGGGGAGCAAACAGGAUUAGAUACCCUGGUAGUCCACGCCGUAAACGAUGGGUACUAGGUGCCUGGGGGAGCGACCCCUUGGGUGCCGGCGCUAACGCAGAAGUACCCCGCCUGGGGAGUACGACCGCAAGGUUGAAACUCAAAGGAAUUGACGGGGGCCCGCACAAGCGGUG